GAUGAACGCUGGCGGCGUGCCUAAUACAUGCAAGUCGAGCGAACAGACGAGGAGCUUGCUCCUCUGACGUUAGCGGCGGACGGGUGAGUAACACGUGGAUAACCUACCUAUAAGACUGGGAUAACUUCGGGAAACCGGAGCUAAUACCGGAUAAUAUAUUGAACCGCAUGGUUCAAUAGUGAAAGACGGUUUUGCUGUCACUUAUAGAUGGAUCCGCGCCGCAUUAGCUAGUUGGUAAGGUAACGGCUUACCAAGGCAACGAUGCGUAGCCGACCGGAGAGGGUGAUAGGCGACACUGGAGCUGAGACACGGUCCAGACUCCUACGGGAGGCAGCAGUAGGGAAUCUGCCGCAAUGGGCGAGAACCUGACGGAGCAACGCCGAGUGAGUGAUGAAGGUCUUCGGAUCGUAAAACUCUGUUAUUAGGGAAGAACAAAUGUGUAAGUAACUAUGCACGUCUUGACGGUACCUAAUCAGAAAGCCACGGCUAACUACGUG
rnacentral:rRNA from 1 species